ACGGGUGAGUAACGCGUGGGAAUCUACCCAUCUCUACGGAAUAACGCAUGGAAACGUGUGCUAAUACCGUAUACGUCCUUCGGGAGAAAGAUUUAUCGGAGAUGGAUGAGCCCGCGUUGGAUUAGCUAGUUGGUGGGGUAAAGGCCUACCAAGGCGACGAUCCAUAGCUGGUCUGAGAGGAUGAUCAGCCACACUGGGACUGAGACACGGCCCAGACUCCUACGGGAGGCAGCAGUGGGGAAUAUUGGACAAUGGGCGCAAGCCUGAUCCAGCCAUGCCGCGUGAGUGAUGAAGGCCCUAGGGUUGUAAAGCUCUUUCACCGGUGAAGAUAAUGACGGUAACCGGAGAAGAAGCCCCGGCUAACUUCGUGCCAGCAGCCGCGGUAAUACGAAGGGGGCUAGCGUUGUUCGGAUUUACUGGGCGUAAAGCGCACGUAGGCGGACUAUUAAGUCAGGGGUGAAAUCCCGGGGCUCAACCCCGGAACUGCCUUUGAUACUGGUAGUCUUGAGUUCGAGAGAGGUGAGUGGAAUUCCGAGCGUAGAGGUGAAAUUCGUAGA
rnacentral:rRNA from 1 species